rnacentral:rRNA from 1 species
ACAGAGGGUGCGAGCGUUAAUCGGAAUUACUGGGCGUAAAGCGUGCGUAGACGGUUAUUUAAGUCGGGUGUGAAAGCCCCGGGCUCAACCUGGGAAUUGCAUUCGAGACUGAAUAGCUAGGGUACGGUAGAGGGAAGCGGAAUUUCCGGUGUAGCGGUGAAAUGCGUAGAUAUCGGAAGGAACACCGGUGGCGAAAGCGGCGCGCUGGACCUCUUCUGACGCUGAGGCGCGAAAGCCAGGGGAGCAAACGGGA